rnacentral:rRNA from 1 species
UACGGGGGGGGGCAAGCGUUGUUCGGAAUUACUGGGCGUAAAGGGCUCGUAGGCGGCCAACUAAGUCGGAUGUGAAAUCCCCAGGCUUAACCUGGGAACUGCAUCCGAUACUGGAUGGCUUGAAUCCGGGAGAGGGAUGCAGAAUUCCAGGUGUAGCGGUGAAAUGCGUAGAUAUCUGGAGGAAUACCGGUGGCGAAGGCGGCAUCCUGGACAGUGACUGACGCUGAGACGCGAAAGCUAGGGGAGCAAACGGG